rnacentral:rRNA from 1 species
AGUGAACGCUGGCGGUAGGCCUAACACAUGCAAGUCGAACGGCAGCACAGUAAGAGCUUGCUCUUACGGGUGGCGGGUGGCGGACGGGUGAGGCAUACAUCGGAAUCUACUUUUUCGUGGGGGAUAACGUAGGGAAACUUACGCUAAUACCGCAUACGACCUACGGGUGAAAGCAGUGGAUCUUCGGACCUUGCGCGAUUGAAUGAGCCGAUGUCGGAUUAGCUAGUUGGCGGGGUAAAGGCCCACCAAGGCGACGAUCCGUAGCUGGUCUGAGAGGAUGAUCAGCCACACUGGAACUGAGACACGGUCCAGACUCCUACGGGAGGCAGCAGUGGGGAAUAUUGGACAAUGGGCGCAAGCCUGAUCCAGCCAUACCGCGUGGGUGAAGAAGGCCUUCGGGUUGUAAAGCCCUGUUGUUGGGAAAGAAAAGCAGCAGGUUAAUACCCCGCUGUUCUGACGGUACCCAAAGAAUAAGCACCGGCUAACUUCGUG